GUGGUAGUACUCAGUGUUUUAAGUAUAUCGACGUUAUCAGCCGAUAUAUCUUGCGAUAUAUCUUGUAUCUCACCUGUGCGAUAUGAAACGCACAAGUAGUGGGAUAUAUCCCACAUGUUCGAUCUGGAGAGCAUUUUCGAUUGUCGAUUUUUAUUUAUUUAUUAUUAUUAUUAUUAUUUUUUCCGUAAAUCAUGUUACAUCAGUGUCAAAUUGUUACAAAUCAUGAAAAAUCAUGGAUUGGGAGCUUCAAUUUUGAGAUUUGGAGGAGAUGGGCCGAGUUGCUGAAAAUUUAAAAAAAAAAAAAAUCAAAAAUUUCCAAUUUCUCACAAAUCGGUUGCAAUCUUAGUGUCCAAACAUAAAAUUAAACAUGUGUGUAUCUUGAUCUAGUGAUUCUUCUUUUGCUUUUGAAUGUAUUGCUUGUGUUUCCACACUUCUUCUUAUAUUUAUAAAUUAUAUGAAUAGACUUCAAAUAUACUUGCAUCAAUUCAGUUAGGUAGCGCAUAGAUUAGGACCCCAUACAAAGAAAAUCUAUUAUGUGCACUUGUUUUUUGCAAUGUUUUGAUUUAUAAGUGUGUAUUGUUGUCUUUUUAACAAUCACUGAAGUUUCAUUGAAAAAUUCAACUAAUUUCCCAAUUUUUCCCCAUGUUUCCAACAACAACGAUACAUUAUGUGAUAGAACUGAUAUAUCCCAUGCGAUAACAAAUACGUAUCCCUAUCCCAAGGGUGCAACACGUAACACGAUACUGAUAUUUCGAACAUUGGGUCCUCGUUCAACUAGAGACUCACGACAGCAGUGAUUGGAAAACUUUGAACCAGUCAAAAUUAUUCAAUAACUCAAAUUUUUGGCACGGGCAGCAGCCAUGAGAUGAACAGUCCUGACCACCAACGUGUUUGCCAUGUGUGUCAUGAGGAGGGCUGCAUAGGACUUCCAUGAUGCAAGUUGCUAGGGCUGUCAAAGAAUCAGUCUGGCACACUGUUCUUAGGACUUGGCCUGCCACAGGAGGUGCUUGGGCCAUUCAUUCAGGCACAAGCUUAGAAAUCAGGCCUGUUUAUUUAAUUGAGCUGGACAUUAGCUACAUUUUGAAACCCAUAGGCCCAGCCCAUGGGGCAUUUUCAUUUAAACAAUUUUGUAAUUCAAUGUGUUAACCGUCCUCUUUAACAAGUGUGUGGGAGCUAGUAGACAUGGCAUUUGCAACACAUGGGGAGGAAAUGGUUUGCAAGGCAUGGAAAAGAGGGGUGUACAAGUGAUUGUAAGAGGGGAAUUAUUUGAUUCUUUUGCAGUCUGGUGGUUGAUUUGGAAAUUGUACACAGGCAUACAUUAACUCAUUCAAACCGUUCAAAUCAUGAGGAACCCAUUCAAUGGCCCAUCUUCAAAGUUGAGAUUGAUUUUAAUGAUCCUAACCACUGAUUAAUGAACACUUUUCUGUUGAAUUUGGACCAUUUGCGAUUUACAUCUUGACUGUCCAUUAUGUAUCUAUCAAUAAGCAUGUUACAAAAUUGAAUCAAUGUAAUUUUUGGUUUAAGAGUCAUCUAAAUCAGUGCCCACAACUUUUGUGGUUUGUUUUGAGCUGAUUAUAUUCCAUGUGUACAGUCUCUUGCUGCUUGCAUAUCAACCAUCAUACCUAAGUAUCAGAGUUUUUCUCUUUGUAAAAGGGAGGAGAGUGUCACUUAUUAGCACACGGCCAUACAUAGUUAAAUUACCCAAAAAUGCCCUUCUUUGGUCAAAAACCUUUCCCAUCCUUUAUUAAUGCAAUGUUUAGCCUUCUAAAAAACUAAUUGCAGGGAAAAUUUUGCCCAUUGGGGAAAAACCUUUUACAUUCUGCUAAUAUAAUGUUUUAGCCUUUUGAAGAAUUAAUUGUGAGGAAAAUUGUCCACAGCCACAUGCACUAUUUAUGCAUGUGUGUGCACUCAUGUGUUUGUGUGUGAGUGUGCAGGCACACGCACAUGUAGGGAUGUGUCAGAGGGUGGGAGUGGGCGGGUGUGUGUUUGUGUGCGCAUGUGUAUGCGUGCAUCUACACCCAUAGAUGAUGGAAAGAACCCUAAUUCCUUUCAUCGAUCCUCUCUCUCCAACGAUGGAUUUGGCAAGAUCUCAAGCAUUUUGAGCCAGAGUUUCUCUUGACAAUGAUGGAUUUGCAGUUGGCAAGAUCUGAAGCAUUGUGGGCCGGAGUUAGGAUCAAGAUAUGGGAUUUGCAAUAGAUGAUGAUGCCCCAAACUCUCACAUAUUGCCCAAUCCUAACCUCGUAUUCAUUGGGCUAUUUUCCUUUGAAGGUCCCAACCUAGCUAGGUAUUCAAUUUGGACCCAUGGAUGGCCCAGAUCUUCAAUGUGGAACCUUGGGUGGGUCUGAUCUACAACCAGCCAACAUUGUGGUCCUAUUUGGUGCUUGACUACACCAAGUGGGAGUAACUUGUCAGUUGCUAUUUUGUCAACUUAGCAUGUAUUUCCCCAUUUAUCUAUGAAUUGAAAAUCUUAACCGUUUCUCUUUGUAAAACGGAGAAUCCAAUUCUCAUGGCUCAUUGAUCACAUCUUAGUCACUCAUGUUGGUUGCGAAUAAUAUUAGAUUAUAUGGUAUGUGUUAAAACUUAAAAAGGAAUAUCAUUUGGGAUGGUAGUUCUUAAACUGGAAAGUAAGUUUAACUUAUUUAGUCCCCAUGAAGGUGGGGGUGCUGGUAAUCCCCAUUACGUAUUGUAGAGCUGUUAAAAAACUAGUCAGGCACGUAAGUUACUGUCCAACUGCACCUUCUACUGAGUGCUAACGUGUCGUGUGUGUACGAUAUCCUACCUGCCCCAAAGUUUGAAGCUAAUAUGAUGAUCACCUGGGGCUGGCACAAAAAUCAAGCUGAUCCACUCAUUAGGUAAGCCACACAUGUAUUUUGGAUCAGGCUUGUAGCUAGCUGUUGGUUUCUACACUGGCCCACCUGAGAGUGUAUCGACUUGAUUUUUUUGCAUUAGGUUUAGGUGUUCUUAAUAGUGGGGCCGAGCUCAGGGACAGUUUGGAUGUGAUACACACUUGGCACUUGGCACUUGUGAGGUGGUUGGAUGGUAACUUAUCAUUGAAGUAGUUGUAUUUGAAUACUCUUUAAUUGUCCAAGCUUUUUGGUUGGUUUUACACAAGGUAUUCAAUAAUGAUAACAGUUGGUCAUUCAACUGUUAUGGCUCCCUAAUGGUCAUUUUUUUUUU